rnacentral:rRNA from 1 species
AUUGAACGCUGGCGGCGUGCCUAACACAUGCAAGUCGAGCGGUAACAGGUGUAGCAAUACAUGCUGACGAGCGGCGAACGGGUGAGUAAUGCUUCGGAAUCUGCCCAUGUAGUGGGGAAUAACCAGCCGAAAGGUUGGCUAAUACCGCAUACGACCUACGGGUGAAAGCAGGGGAUCGCAAGACCUUGCGCUAUUGGAUGAGCCGAAGUCGGAUUAGCUGUUGGUAGGGUAACGGCCUACCAAGGCGACGAUCCGUAGCUGGUCUGAGAGGACGACCAGCCACACUGGGACUGAGACACGGCCCAGACUCCUACGGGAGGCAGCAGUGGGGAAUAUUGGACAAUGGGGCAACCCUGAUCCAGCGACGCCGCGUGUGUGAAGAAGGCCUGCGGGUUGUAAAGCACUUUUAGUGGGGAUGAAAGCACAUGGCUAAUAUCCGUGUGUCUUGACCUAACCCAAAGAAAAGCACCGGCUAACUCUGUGCCAGCA